GGACGCUGGAGUGACAUGUACAGGAUUUGUCCGUCUGGUCGGAGGGGACAGCCGCUGCUCAGGACGAGUGGAGAUCCAUGACGGGGACGGGUGGAAGUCUGUCUGUGACUCACACUUUGGUCCCAAAGCUGCUGAUGUGGUCUGCAGAGAUCUUCAGUGUGGCACAGCCCUGCCCGUCCCCAGAGCAAGUGCCUUUGGAGAAGGGACCGGUGCCACCUGGGACAGAGAGCUGCAGUGCGUGGGGAACGAAUCCAGCCUCUCCUCCUGCCCCACGGGGACCCCUCGCGACCAGCCCUGCCCCCAGACAAGCAUUGCUGCUGUCACCUGCACACGGUUCAGGCUGGUGAAUGGCAGCACGGCGUGCGAGGGCAGGGUGGAAGUGGAGGUGCGGGGAACAUGGGGCAGCCUUUGUGCCUCCCGCUGGGACCUCUUGGACGCCCA